UGCCAGCAGCCGCGGUAAUACGAAGGGUGCUAGCGUUGUUCGGAAUCACUGGGCGUAAAGGGUGCGUAGGUGGUUCAAUAAGUCAGAAGUGAAAGGCUAUGGCUCAACCAUAGUAAGCUUUUGAAACUGUUGAACUUGAGUACAGGAGAGGAAAGUGGAAUUCCUAGUGUAGCGGUGAAAUGCGUAGAUAUUAGGAGGAACACCAGUGGCGAAGGCGACUUUCUGGACUGUUACUGACACUGAGGCACGAAAGCGUGGGGAGCAAACAGGAUUAGAUA
rnacentral:rRNA from 1 species